UGCAAACUAGAUGAAACUUUACAGAAAUGAUAACUGGCAUGGGCAGAAUUGCAUUUUGGAGUUAGAAAUUUCAAAAUGGCCGCCGUAACCAUGGAAAUGACUAAAAUGUCAAAAAUUUCAAAAUGCUCCAAACUUAAUAAAACUUUACAAAAAUCAUAAUUUCCAUGUGUAGAUACGCUCUUUGACUUUGGAAAUUUCAAAAUGGCUGCCUUUUUCCUGGCAAUGGGGGGACGAGGGUGCCAUCCGUUAUUGCUAGCAAUUACAAAUCUAGUUAUUAUUAUAUUUAUUCUUCCACACUUUUUUGUCCAUACUAUUUCUCAGAAUUGGCGUAAACAAUAUUGAUGGAACUAUACCAUAAUGUUGACCACCACAUUAAAUAGUGCAGUGAGGUAUGGCAUCAUCAAGAUGGCUGCCAUUGCCAUGGAAACGAAACAAAUGUGAAAAAUUUCUGUUUUUUGUUUUGGUGAACUGUUUGAAUAUGCUUACACUCAGAAUCAUCAUAUUUUAAUACAAUGUAGGUGCCCACUAUAUACAGGUGUUGGAUGAUUUUGGCACACAUUGGACCUACUAUGUUGCCAUGGAAACUACACCAAAAAUUUCAAAAAUAUCAAAAUGCUCAAAACUUAAUGAAACUUCACAGUAACGAUGAGCAACAUUGGAAGAUGUGGAAUUUGGCGUUGGAAUUUCCAAAAUAUCUGUUGUUACCAUGAAAACAAUGCAAAAAGGUCAAAACUUUGAAUUUUCACAGAACAUUCCAGAACAUCAAUGUUAAAUUUAUUCUAGAGACAUUAAAUGGUAUAUGAUGGUAUAUAUGAUUAUGGAGGGAAAAAAUUGCAGCGGGGGUUUGACUUUGGAAUAUUCAAAAUGGCCGCCGUUACCAUGGGAACAGCAAAAUUAUGAAAAACUUCAAAAUGCUUUAAAUUUAAUGAAACUUAUAACAAAUUUUGCCUAGCUUAUGUAGACUUAACUUUUGAGUUUCUAAUUUUCAAAAUGGCCGCCGUUGCCAUGGAAACAGCAAACAUUUUCUAAAUAGCUGCCGCUGGCUUGGCAAUAGGGAAAGGGUGCCAUCCGCUAUUGCUUGCAAUGGCAAAUCUAGUUUUUAUGGCACCCUCAACGGAGUUGGGGUGACAUAUUGUUAUUGUUCGUUUCUUUUUAUGGCACCCUCAACGGAGUUGGGGUGACGUAUUGUUAUUCUACGUUUCUUUUUUUUCUUAUUAUUAUUAUUUUUCUUGCAACACAUUUUGUCCAGGCGAUUUCUCCAAAUCUAAAGUACCAAAGUUGAUGGAACUUAACUAUAUUAAGGACCCCCAUGUGCAGAGUUGCAGGAAGCAUGGAAUGGUUCAAGAUGGCUGCCGUUUCCAUGGAAACAGAACAAAUGUGAAAAAAUCCAGUUUUUUGUUUUGGUGAACUGUUUGGAUAUGCUUUAACUCAGAAUCAUUAUAUUUAAAUACAGUGGAGCUGCCCACUAUAUACAGGUGUUGGGUGAUUUUGGCACUCAUUGGAACUACUAUGUUGCCAUGGAAACUACACCAAAAAUUCCAAAAAUAUGGAAAUGCUCCAAAUUUUUUGAAACUUCACAGUAACGAUGAGCAACAUUGGAAGAUGUGGAAUUUGGCGUUGGAAUUUCCAAAAUAUCUGUUGUUACCAUGGAAAUAAUGCAAAAAGGUCAAAACUUUGAAUUUUCACAGAACAUUCCAGAACAUCAAUGUUAAAUUUAUUCUAGAGACAUUAAAUGGUAUAUGAUGGUAUAUAUGAUUAUGGAGGGAAAAAACUGCACUUUUGGAAUAUUCAAAAUGGCCGCCGUUACCAUGGGAACAGCAAAAAUUAUGAAAAACUUCAAAAUGCUUUAAAUUUAAUGAAACUUAUAACAAAUGUUGCCUAGCUUAUGUAGACUUAACUUUUGAGUUUCGAAUUUUCAAAAUGGCCGCCGUUGCCAUGGAAACAGCAAAAAUAUUCUAAAUGGCUGUCGCUGGCCUGGCAAUGGGGAAAGGGUGCCAUCCGCUAUUGCUUGCAAUGGCAAAUCUAGUUUCUUAUUAUUAUUAUUAUAUUUAUUCUUCCACACUUUUUUGUCCAUUCUAUUUCUCGGAAUUGGCUUGAACAAUAUUGAUGGAACUAUACCAUAAUGUAGACCACCACAUUCUAUAGUGCAGUGGGGUAUGGCACCAUCAAGAUGGCUGCCGUUGCCAUGGAAACGAAACAAAUGUGAAAAAUUUCUGUUUUUUGUUUUGGUGAACUGUUUGAAUAUGCUUAAACUCAGAAUCAUCAUAUUUCAAUACAAUGAAGGUGCCCACUAUAUACAGGUGUUGGAUGAUUUUGGCACUCAUUGGACCUACUAUGUUGCCAUGGAAACUAAACCAAAAAUUUCAAAAAUAUCAAAAUGCUCCAAACUUUAUGAAACUUCACAGUUACGAUGAGCAACAUUGGAAGAUGUGGAAUUUGGCGUUGGAAUUUCCAAAAUAUCUGUAGAUACCAUGGAAACAAUGCAAAAAGGUCAAAACUUUGAAUUUUCACAGAACAUUCCAGAACAUCAAUGUUAAAUGUAUUCUAGAGACAUUAAAUGGUAUAUGAUGGUAUAUAUGAUAAUGGAGGGGGGAAAUUGCAGCGGGGGUUUGACUUUGGAAUAUUCAAAAUGGCCGCCGUUACCAUGGGAACAGCAAAAAUUUCAAAAAUUUCAAAGUUCUCCAAACUUAAUGAAACUUUUCAAAAUUGACAAUUGGCAUGAGUAGAUGCACUCUAUGAUUUUGGAAUUUUCAAAAUGGCUGCCGCUCGCCUGGCAAUGGGGGAAGGGUGCCAUCCGCUAUUGCUUGCAAUGGCAAAUCUAGUUCUUAUUUUUAUUCUUCCACACAUUUUGUCCACGCUAUUUCUCGGAAUUGGUCAGACCAAUGUUGAUGGAACUAUACCAUAAUAUGAACCUCCAUGUGAAGUUGUGCAAGAGACAUUGGAAUGGUAAAAAAUGGCCGCCGUUACCAUGGAAACUGCAAAAAUGUAAAAAAAAAUCCAAAUUCUAAAUCUUUUAUUAUAAGAGCCAACCUAAUGAAACUUUAUGUAAAUGUUGGCAGUGGUGCCCUGAGGUACCAACACGACUUAGCUUCUGCAAAAUCUGUACCAUUGCCAUGGAAACUGGAGAAAAGUUUAACAUUGAACCUAUGGGAAAAAACUUCAAACCAGCCUUUUCUAAAGGAAUAUAAGAUCAAACUCAAAGAAACUUUAUGUAUAUAUAACAUGGCAUAAGUCGAUAUUGAAACUGUUGUUGGAAUUUUCAAAAUGGACACCGUUACCAUGGAAACAGCAAAAAUGUCCAAAAAUCUCAAAAUGCUUCAAACUAAAUAAAACUCAUUAGAAAUGACCAAUGGUAAGUAAAGAUUAGACUUUUGAUUUCAGAAUUUCCAAAAUGGCCGCCGUUGCCAUGGAAACAACAAAAAUUUCAAAAUCUUCAAAAUGCUCCAAAAUUGAGGAAACUUAACAACAAUGUUAUUAAACAUCUGUAGAUGCGGUCUUUAACUUUGGAAUUUUCAAACUGCCUGCAGUUUAGUGGCAAUGUGGGAAGGGUGCCAUCCGCUAUUGCUUGCAAUGGCAAAUCUAGUUAUGGCACCCUCAACGGAGUUGGGGUGACAUAUUGUUAUUCAUCGUUUCUUUUUUUUCUUAUUAUUUUUAUUUUUCUUCCACACAUUUUGUCCGCGCGAGUUCUCAGAAUUGAACGGACCAAUGUUUAUGGAACUCAACUAUAAUGAGGAACCCCAUUUGAAGUUAUGCACCUUGCUAUGGAAUGGUAAAAGAUGGCCGCCGUUUCCAUGGAAACAGCACAAAUGCGAAAAAAAUCAAAGUGUUCCAAACUGGAAGAAACUCCACAGGAAUGUUAACUGGCAUGUGCUGAUUUCCAGUUUGACUUUGGAAUUUUCAAAAUGGCUGCCGUUACCAUGGAAACAGCUAAAAUAUCAAAAAUUCGAACUCUUUCGUUAUAAGAUCCAACUGGAUGAAACUUUAUGAAAAUGUUCUCCAGUAUGCCAAGGUGUCAAGACAAUAUUUGGAUAGUUCAAAAUGGCCGCCGUUGUCAUGGAAACAGGGGCCAAGUUUUGCAUUGACCCUAUGGAAAAAUGCAUAAAAUCAGCAUUUUCUCAGAGAGUAGUGCACCAAAGUAAAUGAAACUGUAUUGAUAUAUAACAUGACAUGUGGCAAUGAGAUGUACGCUUUUAGAAUUUUGGAAUUAUCUACUGUAACCAUGGUUGCAGCACAAAUGUUCAAAAUUUCCCAAAAAAAUUAAGUACUGCAAACUGGAUGAAACUUUACAAGAAUAGUGACUGGCAUGUGCGGAGUUGCAUUUUGAAGUUGGAAUUUCCAAAAUGGCCGCCGUAACCAUGGAAACAGCAAAAUUGUCCAAAAUUUCAAAAUGCUCCAAACUCAAUGAAAUUUUGCAAAAAUGAUAAUUUGCAAGUGUAGAUGCACUCUUUGACUUUGGAAUUUCCAAAAUGGCUGCCGCUCGCCUGGCAAUGGGGGGACGAGGGUGCCAUCCGUUAUUGCUAGCAAUUACAAAUCUAGUUAUUAUUUUUAUUCUUCUACACUUUUCUCACAGUUCUCGGAAUUGGAUGGACCAAUCUUGAUGGAACUAUGCUAUAAUGUUGUCCACCAUGUGAAGUUGUGCACCUGACUUUGGAAUGUGCAAGAUGGCCGCGGUUACCAUGGAAACUAAAAAAAUGUAAAAGAAAAUCAAAAUUCUAACUCUUUCGUUAUAAGAGCCAACCUUAUGAAACUUUGUGCAAAUGUUGGUGGUGGGGCCCCGAGGUACCAACAAUACUUAGAAAUUCCAAAAUGGCUGCCAUUGCCAUGGAAACAGGCGAAAUGUUUAAC
rnacentral:lncRNA from 1 species